UACAGAGGUCUCAAGCGUUGUUCGGAUUCAUUGGGCGUAAAGGGCGCGUAGGCGGCCAGCACAAGUCAGUUGUGAAAUCUCCGGGCUUAACUCGGAAAGGUCAACUGAUACUGUGCGGCUAGAGUGCAGAAGGGGCAACUGGAAUUCUCGGUGUAGCGGUGAAAUGCGUAGAUAUCGAGAGGAACACCAGUGGCGAAGGCGGCUUCCUGGCCUGCUCUUGACGCUGAGGCGCGAAAGCUAGGGUAGCAAACGGG
rnacentral:rRNA from 1 species